GCCUGCCCAGUGACUUUAUGUUCAACGGCCGCGGUAUUCUGACCGUGCGAAGGUAGCGCAAUAACUUGUCCUUUAAAUGGGGACUAGUAUGAAUGGCAUCACGAGGGCUUAUCUGUCUCCUUUUUUAGGUCAAUGAAAUUGAUCUUCCCGUGCAAAAGCGGGAAUACGCACAUAAGACGAGAAGACCCUGUGGAGCUUUAGACACCAAGACAGAUCACGUUAAGAAUACCUCAAUAAGGGUUUAAACUAAAAGAAGCCUGCUCUGAUGUCUUUGGUUGGGGCGACCGCGGAGUAAAAAAUACCCUCCCCUCCGCGUGGACUGGGAGCACUAAACCUGAAACCUCCUACAACUGAGAGCUACAGCUCAAACCAGCAAAAAUUUCUGGCCAUCAUUGAUCCGGCCCAACGCCGAUCAACGAACCGAGUUACCCCAGGGAUAACAGCGCAAUCCCCUUUUACAGCCCAUAUCGACAAGGGGGUUUACGACCUCGAUGUUGGAUCAGGACAUCCUAAUGGUGCAACCGCUAUUAAGGGUUCGUUUGUUCAACUAUUAAAGUCAU
rnacentral:rRNA from 1 species